rnacentral:rRNA from 1 species
UACGUAGGGCGCAAGCGUUGUCCGGAAUUAUUGGGCGUAAAGAGCUCGUAGGCGGUCUGUCGCGUCUGCCGUGAAAGCCCGGGGCUUAACUCCGGGUCUGCGGUGGAUACGGGCAGACUAGAGGCAGGUAGGGGAGAACGGAAUUCCCGGUGUAGCGGUGAAAUGCGCAGAUAUCGGGAGGAACACCGGUGGCGAAGGCGGUUCUCUGGGCCUGUACUGACGCUGAGGAGCGAAAGCGUGGGGAGCGAACAGG